rnacentral:rRNA from 1 species
UACAGAGGCCCCGAGCGCUAAUCGGAAUUACUGGGCUUAAAGGGUGCGUAGGCGGAUCUGCAAGCGUCUUGUGAAAUCCCUCGGCUCAACCGAGGAACCGCGGGGCGAACUGCAGGUCUUGAGGCAGGUAUGGGUCGCUGGAACAGUAGGUGGAGCGGUGAAAUGCGUAGAUAUCUACUGGAACGCCGAUGGUGAAGACGAGCGACUGGGCCUGUCCUGACGCUGAGGCACGAAAGCGUGGGGAGCAAACAGG